rnacentral:rRNA from 1 species
AACGAACGCUGGCGGCAGGCCUAACACAUGCAAGUCGAACGCCGUAGCGAUACGGAGUGGCAGACGGGUGAGUAACGCGUGGGAACAUACCCCUCGGUUCGGAAUAACUCAGGGAAACUUGAGCUAAUACCGGAUAAGUCCGAGGUUUUAAUCGACCUUGGAGAAAGAUUUAUCGCCGGAGGAUUGGCCCGCGUCUGAUUUAGCUUGUUGGUGAGGUAAUGGCUCACCAAGGCGACGAUCAGAGCUGGUCUGAGAGGAUGAUCAGCCACAUUGGGACUGAGACACGGCCCAAACUCCUACGGGAGGCAGCAGUGGGGAAUAUUGGACAAUGGGCGAAAGCCUGAUCAGCAUGCCGCGUGAGUGAUGAAGGCCUUAGGGUUGUAAAGCUCUUUUACCCGGGAAGAUAAUGACGGUACC